UUUCUACUCCCUCUGUCCGAAAAUACUUGUCAUCAAAAUGGAUAAAAAUAGAUGUAUCUAAAACUAAAAUACGUCUAGAUACAUUUCCUUUUAUCCAUUUUGAUGACAAGUAUUUCCGGACGGAGGGAGUAUUUG
rnacentral:pre_miRNA from 1 species